AUUGAACGCUGGCGGCAGGCCUAACACAUGCAAGUCGAGCGGAGCGGCGGACGGGUGAGUAAUGCCUCGGAAUCUGCCUGUUAGUGGGGGAUACCGUCCGGAAACGGGCGCUAAUACCGCAUACUAUCAAAUGACCCUCGGUCGGCUUAGCUAGUUGGGGGGGUAAAGGCCUACCAAGGCGACGAUCGGUAACUGUUCUGAGAGGAUGAUCAGUCACACUGGAACUGAGACACGGUCCAGACUCCUACGGGAGGCAGCAGUGGGGAAUAUUGGACAAUGGGCGAAAGCCUGAUCCAGCCAGGCCGCGUGUGUGAAGAAGGUCUUCGGAUUGUAAAGCACUUUAAGUUGGGAGGCGUUACCAACAGAAUAAGCACCGGCUAACUUCGUGCCAGCCGCCGCGGUAAUUC
rnacentral:rRNA from 1 species